rnacentral:rRNA from 1 species
UACAGAGGUCCCAAGCGUUGUUCGGAUUCACUGGGCGUAAAGGGUGCGUAGGUGGCCAGGUAAGUUCGGUGUGAAAGCUCGGAGCUUAACUCCGAAAUGGCAUUGAAUACUAUCUGGCUGGAGGGUCGGAGGGGAGACUGGAAUUCUCGGUGUAGCAGUGAAAUGCGUAGAUAUCGAGAGGAACACCAGUGGCGAAGGCGAGUCUCUGGACGACUCCUGACACUGAGGCACGAAAGCCAGGGGAGCAAACGGG